UGGAGAGUUUGAUCCUGGCUCAGAACGAACGCUGGCGGCGCGCUUAACACAUGCAAGUCGAACGGUCCCGAUAAAGCCGUAAGGUGAUAUCGGGGUAGUGGCAAACGGGUGAGUAAUACGUGGAUAAUCUACCUUUGAGUGGGGGAUAACUUUACGAAAGUGGAGCUAAUACCGCGUAAGACUACAGAAUCGCAUGAUUCAGUAGUAAAAGGCUUCGGUUUACCGGAGUCGCUUAAGGAUGAGUCCGCGCCUGAUUAGCUAGUUGGUAAGGUAAUGGCUUACCAAGGCAACGAUCAGUAGUCGGCCUGAAAGGGUGUUCGGCCACAUUGGAAUUGAGAUACGGUCCAGACUCCUACGGGAGGCAGCAGUGGGGAAUUUUGCGCAAUGGGGGAAACCCUGACGCAGUGACGCCGCGUGAACGAUGAAGUCCUUCGGGAUGUAAAGUUCUGUCAGGCGGGAAGAAUCUUUCCCCGAUGCAAAUCGGGGGAGAAUGACGGUACCGCCAGAGGAAGCACCGGCUAAUUCCGUGCCAGCAGCCGCGGUAACACGGAGGGUGCAAGCGUUGUUCGGAAUUACUAGGCGUAAAGAGCGUGUAGGUGGUUAGCUAAGUCGGAUGUGAAAAUCCCAAGCUUAACUUGGAACGUGCAUUCGAAACUGGUUAACUUGAGUGUAGGAGAGGAGAGCGGAAUUCCUAGUGUAGCGGUGAAAUGCGUAGAUAUUAGGAAGAACACCGGUGGCGAAGGCGGCUCUCUGGCCUAAAACUGACACUGAGACGCGAAAGCGUGGGUAGCGAACAGGAUUAGAUACCCUGGUAGUCCACGCCGUAAACGAUGGGCAUUAGGUGUAGGAGGUAUCCAAUCCUUCUGUGCCGAAGUUAACGCAUUAAAUGCCCCGCCUGGGGAGUACGACCGCAAGGUUGAAACUCAAAGGAAUUGACGGGGGCCCGCACAAGCGGUGGAGCAUGUGGUUUAAUUCGAUGCAACGCGAAGAACCUUACCUGGGCUUGACAUGUACUCGAAUGUGCCAGAAACGGUACAGUCCGAAAGGACGGGUACACAGGUGCUGCAUGGCUGUCGUCAGCUCGUGUCGUGAGAUGUUGGGUUAAGUCCCGCAACGAGCGCAACCCUCAUUCUUAGUUACCAUCGGGUAAUGCCGGGGACUCUAGGAAAAAUGCCUCGGAUAACGAGGAGGAAGGUGAGGACGACGUCAAGUCCGCAUGGCCUUUAUGCCCAGGGCUACACACGUGCUACAAUGGCCUGUACAAAGAGUGGCAAACCCAAGAGGGGGAGCUAAUCUCAAAAACCAGGCCUCAGUUCGGAUUGAAGGCUGCAACUCGCCUUCAUGAAGUCGGAAUCGCUAGUAAUCGUGAAUCAGCACGUCACGGUGAAUACGUUCCCGGGCCUUGUACACACCGCCCGUCACACCACGAAAGUCAGUUGUACUAGAAGUUGCUGAGUUAACCCCGAUCUUUGAUUGGGGAGACAGGCGCCCAAGGUAUGAUUGGCGAUUGGGGUGAAGUCGUAACAAGGUAGCCGUACCGGAAGGUGCGGCUGGAUCACCUCCUUUCUA
rnacentral:rRNA from 1 species